rnacentral:misc_RNA from 1 species
GCCAACUAGAAAUGAAACUCAACCCAAACAUGACAUUUAAAUUAAAAUGAACUGUUACACCAACUCAGAACCUUAGAAAUACAAAAAAUUUCUUCAUCAAAGAAAACUUUUAUACCUAAAGAAAAAACAGAGACAAACAGAGAACCAUAACAUGAUAAACUUAGAAAUGAUAGAACAAUUGUGCUAUAAAUUUGCCCUUGCAUUCAUAUGCGCUAUGCAUCAGAGACCGUAUCUUCAUUUCAUUUGGCAACAAUUUUGUGUCUUCUUAGAUGCUCUUCAUCUACAUAACAAGGUAGAAAUUCCAAAAACAAACAAAGAAUUGUAAGAAAUCUAUGAUAAAUGGAUACUAAAAAACAUUGGAUGCAGUAAGAUCAUAAAAGAUGAAUUAUAUAUAGUGCUAAAUGGAUGCAAUCUUACAACAAUAAGAUCAUAUAUAUUGCUAAUUAACAAUAAGAAUAAUUUAUUUCCUAAAAAAUCAUAGUAUAUUUAAAUAAAAGAGAAAAGGAAAGCUGAUUAAGAUGAAAUUAUAUGCUAAGUAAGAAAUAUCACGAAAUAUAUUACCUGUAAACAUCAGUUGCGUUGAAAAGUUUCUCCUUUAUGAACAAUUUUAAUUGUUGAAUCUUUUUAUCCUUCGAUGCCUUUCACCUUCAACCA